rnacentral:rRNA from 1 species
AUAAAUCAUUAAAUAUAAAAGAUUUGGCGGUAUUUUAAAUAUUUAGAGGAACCUGUGUGUUAAUUGAUAGUCCACAAUAAGAUUUACUUGAUUACUUAUGUAUUGCUGUUUUAAGAUUAUUAUUAAUUAGAUUUUUAAAUUUUUAAUAUAAUUUAAUUCAAGUCAAAAUAUAGUUUUAUUAAGAUAUGGGUUACAAUUUAUUUUUGAUAUUGGAUUUAAUAGUAA